GACCCCUUAGCUCAGUGGUAGAGUGUGUGAUUCCAGCUUCUAGACUUCUAUCUACUAGAGCUUCCACAAAGUCAUCCGUUCAAAUCGGGUAGGGGUCA